UACAGAGGUCUCAAGCGUUGUUCGGAUUCAUUGGGCGUAAAGGGUGCGUAGGCGGCGCGGUAAGUCGGGUGUGAAAUUUCGAGGCUUAACUUCGAAACUGCAUUCGAUACUGCCGUGCUUGAGGACUGGAGAGGAGACUGGAAUUUACGGUGUAGCGGUGAAAUGCGUAGAUAUCGAUAAGGAAGACCAGUGGCGAAGGCGGGUCUCUGGACAGUUCCUGACACUGAGGCACGAAGGCCAGGGGAGCAAACGGG
rnacentral:rRNA from 1 species